AUUUAAGAAUUUUAAUUAAAAAAUUGGUUUGUGGAACCAAGGAGGAGAAAAAAAGGCCUCCUAAAUU
rnacentral:tRNA from 1 species